AUAGUGGGCAACCUGUGCAGGGAAGAUAGAGUGGGCGGUGAAUUAGAGACAUCUCUAUACACAAUAUUUGGCUGACACAACCUGCAUGCAUUAAUGUUAUACCGUCUAUUACCGAUUAUACCCCCCAGACUCAUUAAUGCGUCAUGUCGGUAUGAUGCCAUAGACGCAUUUUUGUCAACCGCAGUAAUCCGGCUUCUCUCAGCUCUAAAGAAACCAGGGAGCGGCUGCUGCUAUUUUAACGCUACUACUACGUCCAGGUACUGUUCAGGCAAGUAUAUAUGCAGUCAAAACUUCCUACUGUGCAGAAAAUAUUUUGGCAAUACACGCUUGAAUAUGUAGCUAGUUUACAAAUUAAAUAUUAAUUAUUGGCAUGAACAAACACUAUCAAAAAAUUAUAUAGAGCUACUAGCAUGGCUAAGAGGCCACACUAGAUCAGUGAGGAGGUGCUGCAUGAAAUUGUAGGCUACCCACUAGCUCUGGGACCUGCACAGAUUGACAUAGAAGACCCAGUAGCCAGAGUACAGCAAGGUAACAGAGAUGUGCCAGUCAUGGAGGGCAGUGAUGAUGAGUUUUCUGAUUGAGAACAGUUUGGAGAGGAGCUUGAAGAUCUGGAUCGGACAUCGACACUGCAUGAGCUGACCACUGUUGUGAAAGUCCUACCACCAACGCCAACCUUCCUGUACAUGGCAUUGUCUGUGCGCGUGUAUGUGUAGGCGACUCCAAGGUACUCCAAAAGGGACCCAGUGGCAGUGAUCAAUUGACAGCGAAGUAUUCAUGGCAGUAGCCACAGACAUCAGACACUUUUUAUAUCUAUUGUUAGUUACGCAAAGAAUUAUAAUCGUUACUGAUGGUCCAAAAAAUGUUUUUCAAGGCUCGAAGAACGAAAGGCGAGGCUAUUAUUUUACUAUUCAAGGGCUAUAUAUAAUUACAUAAUAGGUUAUUGCAGUCAACAAACGUAAUACGUAUCCUGGCUCACCUCGCUGCUACUGCCACUGUUCCUCUGUUCACUGUACAUACGCGGCCCCACCUCUGAUUAUUGGAUCCAGCCACACCUACAUGUAGUGUACAUAUGUACACAAAGAAGGCUAAUCAAUGCUGCUUAGCACUACCAAUUCUAGAUACAACUACUAUCUACCAUGUACAGUCAGUACCAGACCAUAGAGCUUCUAGCGAUUCUACAAACGCAUGCAACAAGUACGAACAAGUACUAUAGCAACUACAACCGGUUGUAUUUUUAACAUUAAUUUUAUGCGCCUGAUUUUAAAUAAAUUGAAGUCUAUAAUAGGUGAUGCAGGCCCUAAAGUAGACUCUAAACAUUCAGUAGAGUCAACAUACAGCUUAGGAAGCUUGUACUCACCUUUUUACCACUGCCACUGUUUCUCUUUACACAUAGCUGCCUCUGGUUAUAAGCCACACCCAGUACCUUGUGUAGCUGCACAGAAAAAGGCUAAGCAACGCUUCUCAGCACUACAAACUCUACAGCUACGUCCUAUAUACUUAGUACAAUAAGUAUUAGGCUGUAUGAAGCUUCUAGCGAAUCGAAAAAGCCAUGUAACAAAGUAGUACUAUACGCAACUACUACUUACCGCUUGACAGAAGCAGAUCACAGCCAAACCUUCGAGAUAGUAAGCGAUUCGGGCAUCAUCUUGUAGAUCUUUGACUGGUCUUUCUUCCUAGUCUAACUUGCACAAUCAAAAGUCGAAGCGCUUUCAAGUUACGAACAGUUUUCUAAGAACUGAUUAAUUUGUGCAUUUUUUAAAAAUCAAUAUGGCUGCGGGGGUGUUCCCGCAACGUGACGUCAUGGCGUAUAUUCGGCUAUUUAAGGCACCACCAGAGGAGGUACGACACUCGGUUAAGCUCACAUGGCUGCUAUUUCUUGAUUGAAGGCAAGAAAGACAAAGAAGUCGUUAAAAAUUCAUUCCAUUCAGCUGGUGGCAAGUAAGCGCCAUAAAGAGACAAGUUUAGAGCAUACAACUCGUUGCUGGCUAGUAGCUAGAGUUUUACAAAUAGAGAUUAGAUUUGUUGUAAGAACCAAGGCUCAGAUGUUGGUAGUGAUCCUAUCCUGAAUGCAGGCACAGAAUACUUAUUAAAACAGAAUUACAAUAAUAUCUCAAAAUCUAAGUGGUGGCUAAAAUUGGUUGAAAAGCUAUUUCACAUCAGCAUAAACCAACAAUCAACCAGCCUGAUCUUAGAAACGUUAAGUGGAUUUCUUGAAAGAUACACGCCAAACCAAAUCCACUAUCAAAGUACAUACUCUUGAAUGCACAAGUUAAUGAGAUUUAUAAUCCUUUUGGCUAGUCAUGUG